ACCCCUUCAGUUGUCAAAUGGAUGUCAAUGCCAUUGCCAUUCUAGUGUUUGAUCAAUUCAUGAAACUUUUUAUACUUUAAUCUAAUUAAACGUGUGAAUUAAACAUAUUAGUGACCCAAGAAUACGGUGCGAAAGUGUUCAAGCAUGGACAAAAAAGUGACGGUGUGUGAAGCUACGAAGAGCCCAUCAAGGAAGAAGUCGAAAAAGGAGCACAAGCACAAACACAAGAAGCACUCAGCAGCCGAGAAGCCGGAAAAGGACAAGCAAAAGAAACACAAGAAGCAUAAAAAACACAAGCACAAAGAUCGCGAGCCAACAACCCCCGAGGCAACCGACCAUUACACUCCGGAGCGUGUUGUUAAGCUAAACGAUCCAAUGAUCAACGGUAAUUCCAAAGUAUCCUUACAACCACCGACAGUGGUUGACGAUGUUGCUGAGUAUAUCCUUGAAGGGCUUGUGGAAAAACCCGCAUCGGUGGAGGGCAUUUCGUCAGAAGAAAACAGCGUCGAUGUGCCUGAGCAGGAUUGCGACUCAGAUGCCAUUGAUAUGAACGUUAUCGAGGCAGACAUGGACCUGGAGGAACUGAUGAAGCAGAAGGAGCUGCUCCAAGCCCAACUGGCAUCAGCUUUUGUAGACGAAGGCGCGAAAGAGAAGAAUGGUGCAAAAAACCAAACGGUGGUGAUUGAGGACGAAAUCAUUAAUCUGCUGGAUUCCGAUGAGGAGCCCGAGAAGAAAAAGUCAAAACGAGACCUGCCGAGGCCUAGAGAGCGGAUCAGGGACAAGGAUAGGCGUAUUAAAGAGCUACUAGAGAAGGACAAGCAGCGGGAAAAAGAACGGCAAAGGGAUAAGGAGCAUGACAGGAUGAGGAACCGGGAACGCUCCAGAGACAAUCGGCAUUCUAACGAAAAACCUCGCGAUGGAUUCCAUAGGGAUUUGCGGGACUAUCACCGAUACCGGGAUAACCAGAAAUGGGACCCCCGGAGCCGGGACAAUAGAGAGAGGGACAGGGACAGAGACCGGAAAACUAACACGGAGAGGGAUAGAAAACGUCGCGAUAGAAACCGCAAAAAAGGAAAAGACCAUGACAAAUUCAAAGAUUCUUUGAGCGAAGGCCAGUCAAAGACCAAGGAAGACUCUUCAGACUCGGAUGUGCAAAUCGAACUGGACAUCGACAUCAUCGACGAUGAGGAUGAGGAAGCCAUAAUCGAGAAGCGGAGAAAAGAGCGGGAGGAACUAAUGAAACGUCUAGGCGCCGGCAAUGACGACUCGAACACAAACUCCUCUCAACAAUCUAGUCCACAGCAGGAGGAGCAGAAACCUGAACCGCCCGCUAAUAUUGAACAGAUAAAGAACGGCAGCAAUAAGGACAGCAGUGAUUCUUCCAAAGGCCCGACGAAAACGCACGAAUCAAAAGCUAGCAGCAACUCGAGCCUGGAGGAGGAGUCUCUGACGCCUCCCCUGCUCCCCAAUAUGAAGCCCAAAGAGCCCGAGAAGAAAACCGACGUGAAGGGCGCAAAGAGGGCAGAGUGGGACAUGUUCUCUGAACAGGACGUAUUCAAACACAACACUAAUUCUCCAAGUACCAUAGUAAAGUCCAAGGGCUCUGGAGCUGAAAACCCGGCACUUACAGACAACUGGGACGAUGCCGAAGGCUAUUAUAGAGUGAGAAUUGGGGAAAUCCUCGACACCAGGUAUAUGGUUUAUGGGUAUACCGGCCAGGGGGUGUUUAGUAACGUGGUUCGAGCUCGAGACCAGGCGCGCGGCAAUCAGGAUGUGGCCGUGAAGAUAAUAAGAAAUAACGAAAUCAUGCACAAAACCGGACUCAAAGAGCUGGAAAUUUUGAAGAAGCUCAAUGACGCCGACCCGGAGGACAAAAUGCACUGUCUGCGCCUCAUUCGCCAUUUCUUCCACAAGCAGCACUUGUGCAUGGUGUUUGAGCCGCUCGCUAUGAAUCUGCGGGAAGUUCUGAAGAAGUACGGCAAGAAUGUCGGACUACACAUCAAGGCAGUGAGGAGCUACACUCAGCAGCUGCUGCUGGCCCUGAAGCUGCUGAAGAAGACCGGUAUAUUGCAUGCAGAUAUAAAGCCCGAUAACAUCCUAGUCAAUGACAGCAAGCUGGUGCUGAAAUUGUGCGAUUUCGGGUCGGCGUCGAAAAUCAACGAGAACGAAAUCACACCGUACUUGGUGUCGCGCUUCUACCGAGCUCCGGAAAUCAUCCUGGGCAUGCCCUAUGACUAUGCCAUCGACAUGUGGAGCGCAGCCUGCACUAUCUACGAGCUCUAUGCAGGCCGCAUUCUCUUCUCUGGCAAAUCCAACAACCAAAUGCUCAAAUUCUUCAUGGACCUGAAAGGCAAAUUCCCGAACAAAGUGAUCCGGAGGGGCGCCUUUAAGGAGCAGCACUUCGAUAGUAACUGUAACUUUUUGUACCAUGAGAUUGAUAAGGUCACAGAACGGGAAAAGGUGGUAGUGAUGACUGUGGUGAAAGUGAACCGAGACCUGCAGGCGGAGCUGGUGGCCGGUCAAGCGUUGCCCCCCGAUCAGCUGAAAAAAGUUACGCAGCUGAAAGAUCUUCUGGAGAAGGCGCUGGCCAUUGACCCGGCAAAACGGAUCAGCCUAAAUAACGCCCUCACCCAUCCGUUUAUCCAGGAUAAGAUCUGAUGAAACUCCGUUCUAACCGAAAAGGAGAAUGGCCGCUAAAGAAGCAGAGCUGGGGCGAAAACUGGCCUUAUAUGCAAAGGCUUUUUGAAUUAUUUUGGGUUGUCCUGCUGGGCCUCCGGUUAAACGGCGACGAUAAGUAUAAUAAUGCGCUACACGUAACCGAAUAACGAUUCUGUGUUUUAGGUUUGUUAAGCUUCUUCGGCAGACGGUAAGUAUGAAAUUACAGGGCUGAUGACACCAGCUGAUGAAACCAUAACCGAACGGUCGGAUAUCAUCAGCUGCAGAGCGCAGUGAAGUGUUUCAGAAAAAUAUGUUCCAUCGGCUUCAAUAAAAAUUCAGAUUGAGUA
rnacentral:misc_RNA from 1 species